rnacentral:rRNA from 1 species
AUUGAACGCUGGCGGAAUGCUUUACACAUGCAAGUCGAACGGUAGAGGGGGCAACCCCUCGAGAGUGGCGAACGGGUGAGUAAUAUAUCGGAACGUGCCCAGUCGUGGGGGAUAACGUAGCGAAAGUUACGCUAAUACCGCAUACGAUCUACGGAUGAAAGCGGGGAUCGCAAGACCUCGCGCGAUUGGAGCGGCCGAUAUCAGAUUAGGUAUUGGUGGGGUAAAGGCUCACCAAGCCAACGAUCUGUAGCUGGUCUGAGAGGACGACCAGCCACACUGGAACUGAGACACGGUCCAGACUCCUACGGGAGGCAGCAGUGGGAAUUUUGGACAAUGGACGCAAGUCUGAUCCAGCCAUUCCGCGUGCAGGAUGAAGGCCCUCGGGGUUGUAAACUGCUUUUG